GCCUGGGUGGCUCAGUCGGUUGAGCAUCCGACUUUGGCUCAGGUCAUGAUCUCACGGUUCGUGGGUUCGAGCCCUGCAUCAGGCU
rnacentral:tRNA from 1 species